GGAGGGAGGGAGGAGCGAGACUCACGCAAGGCUAAGCAAGGAUCCGACUGGUCCUGCAAAGUGGAGGGCGGAGGAAGAGGGGUGCGAUCCCCUCCCGAGAGAGGGGCCUGGGUGCGCGAAGAAGCGUGGACGAUCGCCUCGCCGAGGGGAGGAGAUGGAAGACUCGCGGAGCUCGCAAACCUCCGCGGAGCAAAGCACACCUCACACUCCCCGCACCGGCCCCCGCCCCGCGCCCGGCGCCCUGCAUCCCAGCUCUCGCUCCCUCUCGCCUCUCCAUCUCUCUCUCUCUCUUUUUUUUUUUAUUUUUUUGCCGGCCUCCGGGACAGGUUGGGGUCAGCAGCGCAAGCCGGCCGCCUGGCCUAGAGGUCGCACCUGCAGACUUCAGGCUCCGCGAGUGUGCCCGGUUCUGAGUCCGAGUCUACGCGCUUCCACCGCGGGUUGGCGCCCUCCUCCCUCACCUUCAUCUGCCGUCACCACCCAAGGUGCUCGAAAUAGAAACAGACGCAGGAUUAAAAAAAAAAAAGUAAAAAGUAACACGAAAAACCAGAACCGUGCAUGUUUGGCACUGGUGGGGAGGGCGGGGCGAAGGGUAGGCUACUUACUGUCUGUCCGCCGCUUCCAUCUCUCUCCUCCCGAGCUUUGCCCGCCCCUCGGGAGAUGUCCCAUCUCUGCUUCGUUCCCAAAGCUAACCGCACUGAGGUUUCCCCACCCUGGAUGCUCCCUGAAGACGGAGUUUUUGCUGUUAUCCCCGCCCCAGUUGCCAGCCAGAGUGGUACCCAGGCUCCGCGGAGCUUUGCGCUCCUACUGCCCCUCACGGUCGGUCCUAGAGAGACGCGUCGGGCAGAUGCAAACCUCCUGACUCUUCUAGGGGGUAAGGGAAAAAAAGAGAAAAAAAAUCCACCGAGUCAGAAACCUGCUUGAAAAAAACCAGUCCCUGAAGACUUGCCUAGCUGAGGGACAAAGUCUGGAGGCUAGUAGGAUGGGGAAAGCUCUGGGCUCUCCUUCCUUCCUCCACCUACGUGCACUCCACUUGCGCCAGCCUUCACUCACCUUGGGCUCUGCUCUGGUCCUGAAGUCCAGGAUGCCAGGUCGGGGCACCUCGAUGGCCCCGGGUCCUGCUGCUCCCCACACUGGCGACCCCCGCCGCCGCAAGCGCGCGCCGCACUCACCUGAGCCGCGCCUCGGCUGUCCAGCCGGUCCGGCGCCCGAAGUCGGCUCCUGGGCUUGGCCAUGGGCAGCGCCGUGGAGCCCCGGCGGCCAGCGGAGCGAGUUUUUCCAGGACGACCCGGGCCGGAGGGCGAGACACCGGCGCAGGCGCCCGCGGAGACCCAGUGGUGGCGGCGGUUCGCGGCUGCCCUCGCGCCGGGGACUUUGCAGGCGGGGAGGCGAGGUUAUCACCGCCGCCGAGGGGAGGAGCAGAGGGAGGAGCGGGAGCGGGAGGAGGGGACAGAGGAGGCCGGGCCCGAAGGGAGAGCGUGUCGGGCCGAGGAGGAUCGCGAGCGCCCACUGCUGCCCGGUCCGCUCCGGUGCUGCCCCGGGGUCGGGUCGACUCGGAGUCCGGCUCGCCACUCCGCUCCCGGGGCGGCCGGGCAGGGCUCGGGAAAUCCCGCGGACAGGUCCCCCAGGAGACUCCAGGAGAUGCUGGGAUGUAUCAAGAACCACUAGUCUCACCCUUGAAACCACCUUUAUCUGUGAUGAUACCACAGAUGACCAGAGAAAUCCUGCUAGGAAUCUACUUCAUAUCUUUACCAGGUGUGCAGAGAAAGAUGAGAGCUUGGCCCAUGGGUGA
ensembl:lncRNA